rnacentral:rRNA from 2 species
GACGAACGCUGGCGGCGUGCCUAAUACAUGCAAGUCGAACGAACUCUGGUAUUGAUUGGUGCUUGCAUCAUGAUUUACAUUUGAGUGAGUGGCGAACUGGUGAGUAACACGUGGGAAACCUGCCCAGAAGCGGGGGAUAACACCUGGAAACAGAUGCUAAUACCGCAUAACAACUUGGACCGCAUGGUCCGAGUUUGAAAGAUGGCUUCGGCUAUCACUUUUGGAUGGUCCCGCGGCGUAUUAGCUAGAUGGUGGGGUAACGGCUCACCAUGGCAAUGAUACGUAGCCGACCUGAGAGGGUAAUCGGCCACAUUGGGACUGAGACACGGCCCAAACUCCUACGGGAGGCAGCAGUAGGGAAUCUUCCACAAUGGACGAAAGUCUGAUGGAGCAACGCCGCGUGAGUGAAGAAGGGUUUCGGCUCGUAAAACUCUGUUGUUAAAGAAGAACAUAUCUGAGAGUAACUGUUCAGGUAUUGACGGUAUUUAACCAGAAAGCCACGGCUAACUACGUGCCAGCAGCCGCGGUAAUACGUAGGUGGCAAGCGUUGUCCGGAUUUAUUGGGCGUAAAGCAAGCGCAGGCGGUUUUUUAAGUCUGAUGUGAAAGCCUUCGGCUCAACCGAAGAAGUGCAUCGGAAACUGGGAAACUUGAGUGCAGAAGAGGACAGUGGAACUCCAUGUGUAGCGGUGAAAUGCGUAGAUAUAUGGAAGAACACCAGUGGCGAAGGCGGCUGUCUGGUCUGUAACUGACGCUGAGGCUCGAAAGUAUGGGUAGCAAACAGGAUUAGAUACCCUGGUAGUCCAUACCGUAAACGAUGAAUGCUAAGUGUUGGAGGGUUUCCGCCCUUCAGUGCUGCAGCUAACGCAUUAAGCAUUCCGCCUGGGGAGUACGGCCGCAAGGCUGAAACUCAAAGGAAUUGACGGGGGCCCGCACAAGCGGUGGAGCAUGUGGUUUAAUUCGAAGCUACGCGAAGAACCUUACCAGGUCUUGACAUACUAUGCAAAUCUAAGAGAUUAGACGUUCCCUUCGGGGACAUGGAUACAGGUGGUGCAUGGUUGUCGUCAGCUCGUGUCGUGAGAUGUUGGGUUAAGUCCCGCAACGAGCGCAACCCUUAUUAUCAGUUGCCAGCAUUAAGUUGGGCACUCUGGUGAGACUGCCGGUGACAAACCGGAGGAAGGUGGGGAUGACGUCAAAUCAUCAUGCCCCUUAUGACCUGGGCUACACACGUGCUACAAUGGAUGGUACAACGAGUUGCGAACUCGCGAGAGUAAGCUAAUCUCUUAAAGCCAUUCUCAGUUCGGAUUGUAGGCUGCAACUCGCCUACAUGAAGUCGGAAUCGCUAGUAAUCGCGGAUCAGCAUGCCGCGGUGAAUACGUUCCCGGGCCUUGUACACACCGCCCGUCACACCAUGAGAGUUUGUAACACCCAAAGUCGGUGGGGUAACCUUUUAGGAACCAGCCGCCUAAGGUGGGACAGAUGAUUAGGGUG